AUGGGUUCCCUCCUCCAGUGGGACAUUGCCUGGGUGUUUGGUUCAGGCUGCCAUGCAGAGGUACAGUUGCUGGAGACUGGAGGGGGUGUUGUAGCACCUGGAGGCUCACUUCGCUUGUCCUGCAAAGCUUCUGGGUUCACCUUUACAGACUAUGCCAUCCACUGGAUCCGUCAGGCUCCAGGGAAAGGACUGGAGUGGGUGGCUUUAGUUAGCAAGCCUACAGGGAGCAAGCAGUUGUAUAACUCCAAGGUUCAGGGGAGAUUCACCAUCUCCAGAGACAAUCCUCAGACUUCAGCUUAUCUGCAGAUGAACAGCUUGAAGCCUGAAGACUCUGCCUUGUAUUACUGUGCAAGAGAAGCACAGUGA